UACGGAGGGAGCUAGCGUUGUUCGGAAUUACUGGGCGUAAAGCGCACGUAGGCGGCUAUUCAAGUCGGGGGUGAAAGCCCGGGGCUCGACCCCGGAACUGCCCUCGAAACUAGGUAGCUAGAAUCUUGGAGAGGCGAGUGGAAUUCCGAGUGUAGAGGUGAAAUUCGUAGAUAUUCGGAAGAACACCAGUGGCGAAGGCGACUCGCUGGACAAGUAUUGACGCUGAGGUGCGAAAGCGUGGGGAGCAAACAGG
rnacentral:rRNA from 1 species